UUAGUUCCCAUACUUUCUUUUUUUUUAAUAAUUUUUAUUUUUUAUUCUUAUUUAUUUAUUUUUAUUUUAUUUAUUUAUUUAUUUUUUGAGACAGUCUCACACUGUCGCCCGGGCUGGAGUGCAGUGGCGCGAUCUCGCUCACUGCAACCUCUGCCUCCUGGGUUCAGUAUCUCAUUAAAUUCUCACCUAACCACACAGAGUGGAUAUUCAUGUUCUAUACUGAGCCUAGUAAACUACCAUUUAAAGAAAGUAAGAAGCAAGGCGCCUGUAAUCCCAGCUACUUGGGAGGCUGAGGCAGGAGAAUGGCGUGACCUGGGAGGCGGAGCUUGCAGUGAUCAGAGAUCGAGCCACUGCACUCCAGCCUGGGCGACAAAGUGAAACUCCGUCUCAGGAAAAAAAAAAAAAAAAGAGAGAGAGUAAGGGAACAUCUUUCGUUAAUAAACCCUCUCUAUUGCUCCCCACACACAAUCCUAGUUUGGUUGCUGUCUUCGUCUGUUUGGGCUGCCAUAACAAAAUCUCUUGCACCGGGUAACUUAUGAACAACAGAAAUGUAUUUCUGACAGUUCUGGAGGCCGGGAAAUCCAAGAUUAAGGCACUGGCAGAUUCAGUGUCUGGUGAGGGCUGGCUUCCUCAUAGACUGCCAUCUGCCAUCUGCGAUCUAGCUGUGUCUUCACAUGGUGGAAGGGCAAACAAGCUCCCUGGGGCCUCUUUUAGAAGGGCACUAAUCUCAUUUGCAAAAGUCCCCACCACUUAAUACCACAUUGCAUUGGGGAUUAGGUUUCAGAACAUGAAUUUUGGGGGAACACAAACAUUCAGACCAUAGCAGUUGUACAUUCUUGGCAGUUCUGGCCUUGGUUUAUUGUGCCAAUAAAAGUAAGCUCAUGAAGCUAUUUCUAUCAUGUCUUUACAGGCAUGUACAGGUGAGCCCAGUUUGGGAGUCACAAAACUUCAGUGAAAUUAAAAAGCCACACUAUGAGUACCUGCACUAGCACUUACCACUCUCACACACAAGAAUCCCUGAGGCAGUGGGGAUCCUACCCCUGUCUCAGGAGUGCACAGAGCCAAUAACCAAAUUACAACAUUGACAUUGUGAAGUUGCCUCUAGAAAUAAUUUCUCAAUAAGUACACCUUUAUAUAAUAAGUGAAUGAACACAAUGUAAUUAAAUGCUAGAUUAACCUAAGAAACAAAAAGGAAAAUAGCUUCUUUGUCCGUUCAUCUACAGGAUAAUGAGGUCAUGUUAAAAGACUUAGAAAAGGUUCAGUUCUCCUGCCGGGCGCCGUGGCUCAUGCCUUUAAUCCCAGCACUUUGGGAGGCCUAGGCGGGCGGAUCACCUGAGAUCAGGAGUUUGAGACCAGCCUAACCAACAUGGAGAAACCACCCAUCUACUAAAAAUACAAAAUUAGUCGGCCAUGGUGGUGCAUGCCUGUAAUCCCACCUACUCGGGAGGCUGAGGCAAGAGAAUCGCUUGAACCCAGGAGCUGGAGGUUGCAGUGAGCUGAGAUUGUGCCAUUGCACUCCAGCCUGGGCAACAGGCAAAACUGUCUCCAAAAAAAAAAAAAAAAAGGUUCAGUUCUCAUAAACACAAAUUUAAUGAGCAUUUUGAAGAUCUCAAAAUAAGUAUUAUAUUUAAUUAAACGUGUAAUUAAGUAUAUACUGGUAUGAAUAUCUACAAAUAAUUAUUCAUACUAAUCUGAAAAACGUAUGCAUCAUAAUGUGUGUAUAUAAUUGGUUGCUAGGGGAUUUGUUUGUUCAUUUUGCUGCAAUAGAUUUCUGUCUCUCGUCAUAUUCUGUUCAAGUACCUAAAAUGAUUGCUCACUUAUUCGAAGCACACUAAUGAAAUAAUACUCAGAGUAAAAGGAUAUAUCACCCAGAUUUUUCUAUUAGAAGCUACACAAUACUCAAAAAUCUAUCAUUUAAUAUGUGUAUGCAGGUCUAAAGCCCAUAAUAAGCAAAAAUAUAUUUUCACGUUAAAUGUAUGGCUAUUUACACUAGAUGAGGUAAAGAAAGACUAUAAAUAGCUUCACAUCUCGUUUUGUCACAGAAUGAAUGCAAGUCAGGCCAGGCUUUGCCGCCAAAUGAGUUACAAAAUUUUGGUUUUCAGAGUAUUGUGAAUUUUGGAAUUGCAGAAAAGGAUAUGUGAAACUGUUUAUAAACAUGAGAAGAUGUUUACAGAUAGAUGUUUUAGAAGUCAAAUGAACAAAUCUGAAGCAACAGACUAGAAAUUCUAUUCAUGGAAAUAUGAUAAAAAUGCCAGUAAGAGGGCUGGGCGUGGUGGCUCACACCUAUAAUCCUAGCACUUUGGGAGGCCGAGGCGGGUGGGUCGCUUGAACUGGAGUCCGAGACCAGCCUGGGCAACAUGGCGAAACCCCAUCUCUACCAAAAAUACAAAACCCCGUCUCUACCAAAAAUACAAAAAAUCAGUUGGGCAUGGUGGCAGGUGCCUGUAAUCCCAGCUACGGGGGAGGCUGAGGAAGGAGAAUUGCUUGAACCUGGAAGGCAGAGGUUGCAGUGAGCCGAGAUCACACCACUGCGUUCCAGCCUGGGCGACAGAGCAAGACUCCAUCUCAAAAUAAAAUAAAAUAAAAUAAAAUAAAUUUUAAAAUGCCAGUAAGGAUCUCCAUAAAGGCUAUGUAUGAAAACCUGACCAUGUCACAUCCAUGACCCUAUUACAGCAGGUCAGAUUAAUCUUACCCUAGUCCAGAGAACCACGGGAACCACUGAGUCCUAGUGGAGGGAAAGCCUGGAACAGAUGUGAAGCAAGCUUGGCUUUUAGCAA
rnacentral:lncRNA from 10 species